CCUACGGGUGGCUGCAGUGGGGAAUAUUGGUCAAUGGGCGAGAGCCUGAACCAGCCAAGUCGCGUGAAGGAUGACGGCCCUACGGGUUGUAAACUUCUUUUGUCAGGGAGCAAUUGGGUCCACGCGUGGGCUUAGCGAGAGUACCUGAAGAAAAAGCAUCGGCUAACUCCGUGCCAGCAGCCGCGGUAAUACGGAGGAUGCGAGCGUUAUCCGGAUUUAUUGGGUUUAAAGGGUGCGUAGGCGGAAUAUCAAGUCAGCGGUAAAAAUUCGGGGCUCAACCCCGUCGUGCCGUUGAAACUGAUGUUCUUGAGAUGUCGAGAGGUAUGCGGAAUGCGCAGUGUAGCGGUGAAAUGCUUAGAUAUUGCGCAGAACUCCGAUUGCGAAGGCAGCAUACCGGCGGCGAUCUGACGCUGAGGCACGAAAGCGUGGGUAUCGAACAGGAUUAGAUACCCUGGUAGUC
rnacentral:rRNA from 1 species